GACGAACGCUGGCGGCGUGCUUAACACAUGCAAGUCGAACGGUAAGGCCCUUCGGGGUACACGAGUGGCGAACGGGUGAGUAACACGUGGGUGAUCUGCCCUGCACUUCGGGAUAAACCUGGGAAACUGGGUCUAAUACCGGAUAGGACCACUGCCUGCAUGGGUGGUGGUGGAAAGCUUUUGCGGUGUGGGAUGGGCCCGUGGCUGAUCAGCUUGUUGGUGGGGUGAUGGCCUACCAAGCCGACGACGGGUAGCCGGCCUGAGAGGGUGACCGGCCAUGCUGGGACUGACAUACGCCCCGUACUCCGACGGGAGGCGAGAGGGGGGGAUGUUGCGCGAUGGGCGCAAGCCUGGUGCAGAGAGGCCGCGUGAGGGAUGGCGGCCUUGUGGUUGUAAACCUCUUUCAGCACCGACGAAGCGCAGGUGACGGUAGGUGCAGAAGAAGGACCCGCCAACUACGUGCCAGCAGCCGCCGUAACAC
rnacentral:rRNA from 1 species